GUGCUCGCUUUGGCAGCGCAUAUACUAAAAUUGGAACGAUACAGAGAUUAGCACGGUCCCUGUGCAAGAAUGACAUGCAAAUUCAUGAAGCGUUCCAUACUUUU
rnacentral:snRNA from 1 species